CUGCACGGAGAAGGGAUGCUUCGGCGUACAUGGACCGGACUUCCGGUGCAUGGACUAUCACCGCCGUGCGAAAGUCCCCGAGCGGCACCCCAAGAGCGGGUGUACGGGCAGAGAAUGCCAGCCCGGAAGGGCAGACCCCCGAGUGAGGAGCGCCGCGCAGAGGCCUCGGCUGAGCUUAAUCGUUCCUCGCGGGGAAGCUCGCUACAGCACAGUCCUGCAUUCCGCCGGCUCGCGGUCUACGCGGGUUCGUAACAGAACGGGGCUUACUCUCUCCGUGCU
rnacentral:RNase_MRP_RNA from 2 species